rnacentral:rRNA from 1 species
CUCGUAGGCGGCCAACUAAGUCAUACGUGAAAUCCCUCAGCUUAACUGGGGAACUGCGUGUGAUACUGGAUGGCUUGGAUUUGGGAGAGGGAUGCGGAAUUCCAGGUGUAGCGGUGAAAUGCGUAGAUAUCUGGAGGAACACCGGUGGCGAAGGCGGCAUCCUGAACCAAUAUUGACGCUGAGGAGCGAAAGCGUAGGGGAGACGAAACG